rnacentral:rRNA from 1 species
CAGGUCGUAGACCCGAAACCAGGUGAUCUACCCAUGUCCAGGAUGAAGGUAAGGUAAUACUUACUGGAGGUCCGAACCCACGCACGUUGAAAAGUGCGGGGAUGAGGUGUGGGUAGCGGAGAAAUUCCAAUCGAACUUGGAGAUAGCUGGUUCUCUCCGAAAUAGCUUUAGGGCUAGCCUCGAGGUAAAGAGUCAUGGAGGUAGAGCACUGUUUGGACUAGGGGCCCUUCUCGGGUUACCGAAUUCAGAUAAACUCCGAAUGCCAUGUACUUAUACUCGGGAGUCAGACUGCGAGUGAUAAGAUCCGUAGUCGAAAGGGAAACAGCCCAGACCACCAGUUAAGGUCCCCAAAUAUAUGUUAAGUGGAAAAGGAUGUGGGGUUGCUUAGACAACCAGGAUGUUGGCUUAGAAGCAGCCACCAUUGAAAGAGUGCGUAAUAGCUCACUGGUCGAGUGACCCCGCGCCGAAAAUGUACCGGGGCUAAACAUAUUACCGAAACUGUGGAUGAACCUCUUUAGAGGUUCGUGGUAGGAGAGCGUUCUAAGGGCGGUGAAGUCAGACCGGAAGGACUGGUGGAGCGCUUAGAAGUGAGAAUGCCGGUAUGAGUAGCGAAAGAAGGGUGAGAAUCCCUUCCACCGAAUAUCUAAGGUUUCCUGAGGAAGGCUCGUCCGCUCAGGGUUAGUCGGGACCUAAGCCGAGGCCGAUAGGCGUAGGCGAUGGACAACAGGUAGAGAUUCCUGUACCAGUGCUAAUUGUUUAACCGAUGGGGUGACACAGAAGGAUAGGGAAUCGCACGAAUGGAAAUGUGCGUCCAAGCAGUGAGUGUGAG